CUACUACUCCCUCCGUCCGAAAAUACCUGUCAUUGAAAUGGAUGUAUCUAGAUGUAUUUUAGUUCUAGACACAUCCAUUUUGAUGACAAGUAAUUCCGAACGGAGGGAGUAUUAU
rnacentral:pre_miRNA from 1 species